rnacentral:rRNA from 1 species
UACGUAGGGCGCAAGCGUUGUCCGGAAUUAUUGGGCGUAAAGAGCUCGUAGGCGGUCUGUCGCGUCCGUUGUGAAAACUCGAGGCUCAACCUCGGGCUUGCAGUGGAUACGGGCAGACUAGAGUGCGGUAGGGGAGACUGGAAUUCCUGGUGUAGCGGUGAAAUGCGCAGAUAUCAGGAGGAACACCGGUGGCGAAGGCGGGUCUCGUGGGCAGUAACUGACGCUGAGGAGCGAAAGCGUGGGGAGCGAACAGG